AUCUCGAUGGGGCAUCAGUAAUAAUAAUAACCAUUCGUAAUAUUCAGAAGUAAAAAUUUGGAGCGUGAUAUUAAUUAUAUGAUAAGCUAAAGGCUGGUCUUGUGAAGAUAACAACCCAAUUUCAACUAAUUUACAUGUCACAGCAUAACUGUCAUCUUUUAUGAAACUGGAACGUAAUACUAACACUUGGAUCUUUGCAAAUUAAAGAUUGGAAUUAUAUUUCGGAAAUAGAUUCCAUUUCCUGGAAAUGGCUAACCCUAAUCGAAGGGAUUCCUUGGUUCCUUUGCACCUAUCUCCUAGUCGAAUGGCUAAGUGAAAUACUUACUAUCUUUAUCUUUGCCUAUAUUAUAACGGACCUCCCUUUUUUAGGAUUUAUAAUAUAUUGUAUAAUAUACCUAUACAG